rfam:Mesotoga prima MesG1.Ag.4.2, complete genome.
UGAGAUAUAUUUUCAAUGCCAGAGACAGUAGGUAUUUAAGAGCGUAAGCCACCUACCGAGGCGUGUAGAAGAUCUGCCCUUCUGCGGCCUCGUUUUGGGGCCGCUUUUCUGAAAGGAGG